rfam:TPA: Bos taurus chromosome 23, whole genome shotgun sequence.
AAAAAGGCUCUUUUUAGAGCCACCCACAUUUUCACCGAAAGUAACU